UGAAAGGCUAUCAUGCACACGAAGACAAACAUUGGGCUUGGCCAGGUACAGAGACCACGGCAGCCACUCACUACAAGACGUAGUUCUGACUAUCUUUUUUUGAACGCACUGAAGAUCGUCAUCAGGAAUGGAGGUUUCACCACGUUAUGCUAUAGCUGGUACAGUUUCAAGCUUGGUAUAUCCGCCGGAAUCAUCCUCCGUGGCCACAUCACUGAUGAGGGUAAACAGUGCUCCUCCUGGUGCCAAAGAACGCCAUACAACAAAAUCAGCUUCCACUCAAACAGAGCUACAGGAAGACGUGGUAAACUUGAGCCUAGAAGUAGAGAGGCUUAGUCAUAAGAUACGCAAGAUGACGAAAGAGCUUGAUGCACAUUACAAAAAAUUCAGUGAUGUUUUCACCAAGCUGGGUUAUCUGGACCCGUAUAGUUACGACGAUGUGGACAACAAAGUCAAAGAACAUCUGCAUGGCGUUUGGAGAAGCCUAUAUUAUGAUCUUGAUGCCUGGCUUGGUGGACCAAGGCGAUUUGAAAGGGAGAAAGUUGCCUGUUAGGCAAUGAUGCACAAAUCUACAACAGUGAAGUGAACUUAUUACAGUGAAUGUAAUGGUGACUAUUACAGUGAAUGUAAUGGUGACUAUCACAGUGAAUGUAAUGGUGGAUAUACUCGUGAACUGUAUAUAUAACAGUGAAGUUAAGUUCCGCCGAUGUGACACAACAAUCCGUCAGCAAUUCAUUGAUGUGUACAGUCUAAGUACUUUCUGUUGUUUGUUUGUUUGUUUGUAACUUUUUAACUUCAACUCUUUCCGGCAAACCUUACUUGAUUCUAUAAUCACAAAUCAUGUAGUAAAUUAGCGAAAUCAAGUUCUUAACAGCAAGAAUAAUUUCAUUCUCUAUGAAUCAAUUAUGUAUGUGUGUUAGUUAAUGAAUUAUAUAUGUGUGGGAUGAUACUUUCCUAUUAGCCUGGGCCGCGUUGAGCUAGCCAACUAAUCUGUAAACCUCCAAGGUCUUCUUGUAAAGUUCUUGCAUGAUAUGUACAGAAUUUUAUACAGUUUAUUAUAAAAUGUCUUUAUAGAGUUUAUAAUGAAAUGUUUUAUUAUAUGCACAUUCAUGCCCGGGUUGCAAGAACAGAAGAAUAAUAGCAAUAAUCAAAUCGUGAAUGGCAUGAGUUGUCAGUAUAUAAAUAUGUAAAGUUAUUUAGAAGAGCUUCUCAUUGACUUGGAUAGUCAAAGAAGCCUGCAGUGUAAAGAUUCAAUACAGUAAACAAGACAGCAGACAUUGUUUUAAUGUCAGCUAC